CCUUUGGUAGGCUACCAUGCAGUCGAGCGGAUGAAGGGAGCUUGCUCCUGGUUUUAUCGGCGGACGGGUGAGUAAUGCCUAGGAAUCUGCCUGUGAGUGGGGGAUAACGUUCGGUACCGGACGCUAAUACCGCAUACGUCCUGCGGGAGAAAACGGGGGAUCUUCAGACCUCGCGCUAUUGCAUGAGCCUAGGCCGGAUUAGCUAGUUGGUGGGGUAAAGGCCUACCAAGGCGACGAUCCGUAUCUGGUCUGAGAGGAUGAUCAGCCACACUGGAACUGAGACACGGACCAGACUCCUACGGGAGGCAGCAGUGGGGAAUAUUGGACAAUGGGCGAAAGCCUGAUCCAGCCAUGCCGCGUGUGUGAAGAAGGCCUUCGGAUUGUAAAGCACUUUAACUUGGGAGGAAGGGGAUUAAGUUAAUACCUAGAUGUUUUGACAUUGACUCCACAAUAAGAACCGGCUAACUUCUUGCCCGCAGCCGCGGUAAUACCAAUGGUGCAAGCGUUAAUCGGAAUUACUGGUACUUAAAGCGCGCGUAAGUGGUUCAGCUAUGUGGAUGUGAAAUCCCCCUCGCUCUACCUGGGAACUGCAUCUGCAUACUACUGAGCUAGAGCUCGGUAAAAGGAGGGGGAAUUUCCUGUGUAGCGUAAAAUGGCAAAAAAAAAAAAA
rnacentral:rRNA from 1 species